UGGGUAAUUACACUAAAUAGACAAUCUCAAAAUCCACCUGAGUGCCCCCGUUUAAAGUGAACAACUCAUUUUCGUUAGUAGAAUAGGAUGUCUCUAGGGAGCAGUAUUCAGGCCAUUGCAAACAUUCAUUGUCGUAUCGGUGUGACAUUUUUCUUUUACAAUCUGCGUCUGACAUAAAUAUUUUUUUAACGCUUAGUUGGUGUGGCAUACUAAACGCGCACCACACACACGGAGACCCAUCCUGCUUUCUUCGGAGAGUAGCAGGAGAAAAGAAAACUGAGGACCAGUUUUCAGCCCACAAUUCUGUAGGUCAGCCUUUAGGAAAUGCGCAAUCUGUGGUGUUUUUGCGGCUCCGCGCGUUUUGCAUGUGAAUUUGUUCAUCAGUGUCCUUGUCGCCCAAUUCCGCAACAUCAAUGUCUGCCAAACGAGAGUAAGGCGCUCGUGACUCGCCACUCCUUGCGUUUCUUAAAUUGUCACCGACUGCAGCAGCGUCUGUGCCGUAUAUAUUUAUGAUCGCACGAUUUAAUAUUUAAGGUAUAUUGCUUUCUUGAUGUAUUAGAGACACUUUCAUGAUUUGAUGCCUUGCAGUGCCUUGGUCUGACACUAUCGGCAUGCGAUGGCGAUACUCCUGUUGACCUGACCGUCCCAAAGGGCAUAUUUGACGCACUGACGUGCAUACUGGAGAACCUCAGCGAAAGCGACCUCGACGAUACCGUAAAAGGACUUCUGUGCAGUGUGAUUAAUCUCCUGAAGAACUCGCUUGGCGGCUUGGGAGACCUCACCGAACCUCUCAUGAAGCUCGUUUCGAGACUUGUUGGACAAAGAUGUUAGACAUGUGCGCCUUCAAGACUUUGAUUCCAGCUGAUCCUACGUAUUGAUGCUUACAGAAAUACGUUUACUGGGGAUUUGCGGUGCAAUAAAGCUUAAUAAAGAUAUUGCUGGCGUUUGAAAAAAAA